CCCUGGUUAGCUCGGUUGGUGUAGAGCGCUCCACUGGAAAUAGAGAUGACCCUGGUUCAAUACUGGGACCAGGUG
rfam:Ixodes scapularis strain Wikel colony gcontig_1108379130788, whole genome shotgun sequence.